rnacentral:rRNA from 1 species
UACGUAGGUGGCAAGCGUUGUCCGGAUUUACUGGGCGUAAAGAGCGCGCAGGCGGCUGGCCAAGUCCGAUGUGAAAGCUCCCGGCUUAACUGGGAAACUGCAUCGGAAACUGGUCGGCUUGAAGGUGGGAGAGGGUAGCGGAAUUCCCGGUGUAGUGGUGAAAUGCGUAGAUAUCGGGAGGAACACCAGUGGCGAAGGCGGCUACCUGGCCCAUUCUUGACGCUGAGGCGCGAAAGCGUGGGGAGCGAACAGG